rnacentral:rRNA from 1 species
UACAGAGGGUGCGAGCGUUACUCGGAAUUACUGGGCGUAAAGCGCGCGUAGGCGGCUUUUCAAGUCGAUUGUGAAAUCCCCGGGCUUAACCUGGGAACUGCAGUCGAGACUGUCUAGCUAGAGUAUGGGAGAGGGAAGUGGAAUUUCAGGUGUAGCGGUGAAAUGCGUAGAUAUCUGAAGGAACACCGGUGGCGAAGGCGACAUCCUGGACCGGUAUUGACGCUGAGGCGCGAAAGCCAGGGGAGCAAACGGG